rnacentral:rRNA from 1 species
UACGAAGGGGGCUAGCGUUGCUCGGAAUCACUGGGCGUAAAGCGCACGUAGGCGGCUUGUUAAGUCAGGGGUGAAAUCCUGGAGCUCAACUCCAGAACUGCCUUUGAUACUGAAGAUCUUGAGUUCGGGAGAGGUGAGUGGAACUGCGAGUGUAGAGGUGAAAUUCGUAGAUAUUCGCAAGAACACCAGUGGCGAAGGCGGCUCACUGGCCCGAUACUGACGCUGAGGCACGAAAGCG